rnacentral:rRNA from 1 species
UACGUAGGGUGCGAGCGUUAAUCGGAAUUACUGGGCGUAAAGCGUGCGCAGGCGGUUCGCUAAGACCGAUGUGAAAUCCCCGGGCUUAACCUGGGAACUGCAUUGGUGACUGGCGGGCUAGAGUAUGGCAGAGGGGGGUAGAAUUCCACGUGUAGCAGUGAAAUGCGUAGAGAUCCGGAAGAACACCAGUGGCGAAGGCGGCCCGCUGGGCAGUGGCUGACGCUGAAGCGCGACAGCGUGGGGAGCAAACAGG